rnacentral:rRNA from 1 species
UGGGGAAUAUUGCACAAUGGGGGAAACCCUGAUGCAGCGACGCCGCGUGAGGGAAGAAGGUUUUCGGAUUGUAAACCUCUGUCCUCAGGGAAGAAAAUGACGGUACCUGAGGAGGAAGCCACGGCUAACUACGUGCCAGCAGCCGCGGUAAUACGUAGGUGGCAAGCGUUGUCCGGAAUUACUGGGUGUAAAGGGAGCGUAGGCGGGUAGGCAAGUUGAAUGUUAAAGGUAGGGGCUUAACCCCUAUAUGCGUUCAAAACUGUUUAUCUUGAGUGAAGUAGAGGCAGGCGGAAUUCCUAGUGUAGCGGUGAAAUGCGUAAAUAUUAGGAGGAACACCAGUGGCGAAGGCGGCCUGCUGGGCUUUAACUGACGCUGAGGCUCGAAAGCGUGGGUAGCAAACA